rnacentral:lncRNA from 1 species
UUUAUGGGAUUUUUCUCAAGGAUUUCAUUUCCGGUUUUUGUGGUUUUAGUUAACGUAGUGACUUGUUUUAAUUAGAAUUAGAUAUGAGUUUCUCUUUUAUUCUUUUGGAUAGUUUCCUACUGAUUUGUGCUGGUUUUGAUUGAAAUAUGUCUUGGAUAGUUUCUUUCAAGCCUAAGUUUCAGUUUCUCUUGAAUUUUUGGGGAUUCGGGUGCAUUUUAUUUUCUCAAGGUUUAUUAUCAUGAUUAUCUUCUGUUGAAUGUUGAAUUUUUUUGAAGUUUAGAAUUGGGUCUGUUUUAUUUGGAAUUGUAGGUUUUCACGAGGAUUUAAACCAGGUUUUACUGUGCUUUGAAUGCCGGAGGUAACUUGUAGGAGGUUUAUCUGCAAAUUUUUUACCUUUUUCUUUCAAUACCUUCUUUGGCUGUUUCAUUUGAAUUUAUUGUUUUCAAGAUAAUUACCACAAUUUUCUGCUGUGAUAAUGGUUUUCUGGAUUAUUUUUUCCAGGAUUUUUUGUUUACUGUGCUGUUGUUCAGAAGGAACCUUGUUUUGUUUUCUCAGCUAAUGGCUUCUUCCAAUUAAUAUUUUAAAUAUUUUUCCUAUAGUUUUUUCUCAAUGGUAUUAUGAGGAUUUUUUGCUUUCCUUAUGGUUUCUAUCGAGGUUGUCCUUAAACAUGGUUUAUGAAUUGGCUGUUUCAGGUCUCUGUUUUAUUUUAUGGAGCAAUGUUAUAAUUUGAUGUAGAGUUUCUAUUUCUCCCCUUGUUUGUGAUUCUCUACCUUGCUCAAUCUUGUAUCUGGAAUCAUAUGUUCUCUUAUUUCCUGGCCUUAUCUCUUUUUUAAUUGUAAAAAAUAUCUUUUUCUGGGUUUGUUUGGAUACUUCAGUAGGAUUUGGCUGAAUUUUCUACGGAUGCAUGGUAGAAAGCCUAUUUAAGCAUAGCCCUGUAUCAACUCGACACCCUCCAACCUGAAAAUAAACCUACAGUCUGGAAUUUAGGCUAAAAUUUUGGCGGGUUCUUAGAAGAUGUGAGCUCUGUAGGCCAACAAAUCAGAUUUUUAUAGAAUAUUUCCAUAAAAAUAUCCAAACAAGCCCUUCAUAGUUUAUAUUUUAUCUGCAUGCAUGUGUGCAUCUUAUAUCAUUACUUUCAUUUCUUGUUUCCAAUUAUUGUAGUCAUUGCUUACAAUCUGAUACUGAUUGUAAACCUUGUUUGAUGUUUUCCCAUCUUUGUUACCUAAUGAGCAUUCUUUUGAUUAUUUUGAUCUUCUCAAUCCUCUCUCUCUCUCUCUCUCUCUACUUUUACUAGUUGCAUAGUCUAUCUGCACAGUUUACUUCUGUACUUUUUACCCCUUUCCCCUACCUUCUCAUCCUAUGAAUUAUUCUACCAUCCUUUUGAGAGAUCUCUUGUUAGUUUCUACAAGUUUCUUCCAACUAACCUCUUCCUUUCUUUUUAAUUUCCUUCAGGGUUGUCAUUGACAACGACGCUUCAGAUGAUGCAACUGUUAUUCAGGUAAAGUUGGAAUCCUCUGAUGACUUUGCACGUAAGCUAUUAAUAGGGAACCUGCAAUCUAGAUUAGUACUCUAAAUUGUUAUUCCUCUUCUAAUAGGUGGAUAGUGUAAAUAAACAUGGAAUCCUCCUAGAAGUUGUACAAGUCCUCACAGAUCUCAACCUCAUAGUCACCAAAGCAUACGUAUCAUCUGAUGGAAAUUGGUUCAUGGAUGGUAGGCUUUUCCACCAUGUAUAUACUUCGAAGAAUAUCCCGACAGCUCGUACCAUGACUUUUGAUGGAAUUUGCUGACUUAAUUGUCUUUUUCUAAUGGGAUGUCAGUGUUCAAUGUGACUGAUCGCAAUGGGAACAAACUCAGGGACAAAGAGAUCCUCAACUACAUACAAAAAGUAAGCAAACUAGUAGUGGUUUUGUGACCUUUUCUUCUUGUGUGUCCAUGGCAUCACUGAGAUGCUCUUCAUCAUAAUUUUAAUCAUAUCUGCAUGCUUGAAGUCAGAUUGUUUAGAGUCAUUGUUAAGAGGGCUAAUGUAGAACAAACCAUCCAAAUUGUGCAAUGAGAGAAUUUGGCAUAGUUCCACAGCAUCUCACUUCUAUCAGUACCAUCUUUUCUUUCCAUUACAUGGAUGAAAUGGUUCUCUUCCUUCAAACAAAGAUAUCUUUCAGCUUUGGAUCCGACAGUCCUCCCAUGUUGACCUUUUGUUCCUUUUGCACUGGUUUGAAUAAUUUUCUUGCAGUCCCUAGAAUCAGACGCCUGCAUCUUACCAUCGCUGAGAAGCUCGGUCGGCGUAAAGCCCUCGAACGAAUAUACCUCGAUCGAGCUAACGGGCACCGACAGGCCUGGCUUACUCUCUGAAGUCUGUGCCGUACUCACAGACCUCAAGUGCAAUGUAGUGAAAGCUGAGGCCUGGACACACAAUACCCGAGCUGCAGCUGUAGUUCAUGUGACUGAUGAGUCCACAAGGAGUGCAAUUGAGGACCCAAAGAGGCUCUCCACCGUAAAGGAGCUGCUCUUCAAUGUUCUUACGUGGGACAAGGACUCAAGGAGAGCCAAGAUGAGAGUCUCAAUGGGAGGCACCCACACAGAGAGGAGGUUACAUCAGAUGAUGUUCGACGACAGGGAUUAUGAGAGUGUUGGACUGGUGGAAGAAGGGGACAAGAAGUCAAGGCCUCAAGUUGCUGUCAUGGACUGCACAGAGAAGGACUAUUCCAUCAUUAUUUUGAGGUCCAAGGAUCGGCCAAAGCUCUUGUUUGAUACUCUCUGCACUCUCACAGACAUGCAGUACGUGGUGUUCCAUGGAACAGUCAAGACGGGAAAUUCUGAAGCUUAUCAGGUUUGAAAGGCCCUUCCUUGAUGCAGAUGUAUCCCAACUAUCAAAAAUAUUUUGAGACUCUUUUGAUUUGGUAACGAAGUGUUGAUAGUUGUAAACUUUAGUUAUUCAAUUGCUUUCACUGGUUAACAUAAUAAUUCAUGGAGUUAUCGAAGUCAUAUCUUGUUUGAUUACAGGAGUACUACAUUAGGCACAUUGAUGGGCACCCGGUGAAUUCCGAAGCCGAACGACACCGCCUGAUCCAGUGUCUUGAAGCAGCUAUCGAGAGGAGAGCCUCAGAGGUAUGUUUUUCCUAAAAUCAAGAAUAAGCUGAUGAANNNNNNNNNNNNNNNNNNNUUCUAUCUAUUUAACUAUUUGUCUGGUUUGCAGGGAUUGGAGUUGGAACUAGUAACAGAAGACAGGAGUGGACUCCUUUCUGAUAUCACUCGGAUAUUCCGGGAGAAUGGCCUGUGCAUCAGAAGAGCGGAGAUCUCGACAAAGGGUGGCAAAGCAGUGGACACUUUCUCUGUCUCAGAGAUGUCAGGCAGCCCUGUGGAUGCCAAGAUAAUUGACUCGAUUCGCAGGCAGACAGGCCAGAUGAUCCUAAGAGUGAAACAGAGCCCUUUACCUUCCAAGCCUUCUGAGGAGACAAGCACCACUGGAUUCCUCCUUGCGAAUUUCUUCAAGGGAUGCUCAUUUCACAGUUUUCGGUUGAUCCGAUCCUACUCAUGAACUAAGAUGGCAAGAUAAAUUACAUAGAGCAGCACAUCUCUGAAUCACUUACUUGUAAAUAUGUUGCAUUACCUUCAAAAGAAGAAAGAAUGAAUUUCACUUCUUAAUCGAGGGUUAUUUUCUUAGAAGAAAUUUAAGUCCGUAAGAGUAGGUGGAACUAAUCCCACCGAGCACGAACCAAUGGACUUUUCCGACGGUAGUCAACUUCUUUGACUAUAGGCUGUGAGGUCAGUUAAUAUAGUUAUAGUUCAGUUGUCACUUUCUUUAUCAAGUAAGUGAGUUGAGCGGAGGAAGUCGCCUUAGGGCGUGGGGUCCUCUCAAACGGCACGGCCUUGUUUACUCCCUCCCUCAAGAUCGGUCGAGUUGGCACGGGAUAAAACAAGAUAAAGAGUUUUUUUAUUAUGAUUCGACAUAACAUAAACGAUAUAUAAUGAUGUGAUCUGCUAGAAAUCUUAGUCUUGAAUUCUGUAAUUAUUGACUUGUAAAUAAAUUCUACUUUGGGCUGUAAGGAUGUACAUAUUCUAUCUUACCAAAAAAAGCAUUACGAAAACCUGUUCAUGAUUUGUUUUGGUUUGUUGGUUCCAUCUCAUACAACAUUAGUUUCUUAAGCAAAGGGCUUGACAUUUUUUCCCCUCUUUUUUCGUAGGAUAAAUUUGGUUCUCAGUUAGAAGAAACAAAAACAUAUUUUGUAAGCAUGCAUAGAAGAAAGUCAUUUUGAGUUCAAUGGACCAAGUGAUGUCUCUCUUUGUGAUUGAAGGCAAUGUGCCAUGUUCUUCAGUGGGAGCCUGAGAUUGGAAGCAGCCUAUGGACAAUGGGUAUAAAUGUACUGGAUAGUUAAUGCCUCACUGAACGGUGUAUUGAAGGAGAAAAAUCAUUAGAGUAAACAAUGCCAAUUCCAUGUUUAAGGAAUUUAAAACCACAUUCAAUUAUUCAAAAUAUUAUACUGCAUCUUUUUCCUUCAAUAGAUAUAACUUUCUUUGCCUGUUUUUUUUUUGGUAGCAAGAGAUGAGGCUCAAAGACAUCGACACCCGAUUACAUUAAGCCACUGAAAUCAGUAGCACAGAAAAGUUUGGAAAAAAAAUGUAAAGGAAAACUUAGUACGUACAGAAAGCCGGGGGAAGGAAAAAAGAAGAAAACUUAGUUUGUACACCCUAUAAUGGCAUACAUUCUGCCAAUAGUAAAUAGCUAAAUCAUCCUUAACUAUAAACCCAGCAGCAGCCACAUCAAUUGCCUUGUGAGUCCCAUCAAAGUUCAUCUUGAGAUAACUACUGGUUAUGGAGUAUCCAAUAAAACCAAACAAGACAGGAAAAAUAUGGAGAACAGACAUCCGAUGCCACCACUUCGAACAUCACCUAGUUGGAAAGUAUUUUUUGAUUCUGUAUAAAUAUCCAAGAUCUACCCAGUAUAUAGCUAAUAUCAGGGGCGGUCCAAUACAUUUGGAGGCCUAAAGCGGAUUCAGUGAAUAAGGCCUUUUUUUAAUAAUAAAAAAUUUUAAUAAAUAUAAAAUACUUAGAAAAAAGAUAUGAAAAUAGAUAGCCAUCAAGUACAUUAUUUCAACAAGAAUGCAUGUAAGCAACAAAGACAUAUAAAAACCUUUUCAGUUUAAUAUAAUUUUUGAAUGAAAGCACGGAAAAGUAAUUAUACUUAAGAAAGAGCCCAUAAAAUUGAUUAAAUAACUGAGAUAAUGCUUCGCAGUACUGUUUACAUGUCAAGCAAGAGCAGACUAGGAAAAGAUUAUCCCAUGGCACUUCAUGGCCAAGGUAAAGAAAAGAAUUUGUCUAGAAAAGAACCUCUCUAUGAGAAAAAAUAGGGGUAUUAUGGAAAAUUCACUCUNNNNNNNNNNNNNNNNNNNNNNNNNNNNNNNNNNNNNNNNNNNNNNNNNNNNNNNNNNNNNNNNNNNNNNNNNNNNNNNNNNNNNNNNNNNNNNNNNNNNNNNNNNNNNNNNNNNNNNNNNNNNNNNNNNNNNNNNNNNNNNNNNNNNNNNNNNNNNNNNNNNNNNNNNNNNNNNNNNNNNNNNNNNNNNNNNNNNNNNNNNNNNNNNNNNNNNNNNNNNNNNNNNNNNNNNNNNNNNNNNNNNNNNNNNNNNNNNNNNNNNNNNNNNNNNNNNNNNNNNNNNNNNNNNNNNNNNNNNNNNNNNNNNNNNNNNNNNNNNNNNNNNNNNNNNNNNNNNNNNNNNNNNNNCUAUGAUCGUGCAAGUUAUAUGAAAUCAGUAGCACCUGGGUAGGGUUGGCUCAGCUUAGAGGCUUAAAGAAAGGAAAACUGGAGUUGUGGAAAAAUUCUCUCUUUCAAUCUAUUUUGGUGAGGAGGUCUACAUAUUCUUUUAUAGUGUAUUUGUACAACUACUUACAAUGGUAAACCAGUGAGUACACCUUAUGAGCAUGGUUUGAACUUGAAGUGCAAUAAAGGUGAUCCAGUGGCCCAAGAGAAAUAUGCUCAAAUUAUUGGGACACUGAUGUAUGUUGCAAAUACAAGUAGACCUGACAUUUCUUAUGCUAUAGGAAAGCUUAGUAGGUUUAAUAGUUGCCCUAGUCUUAGUCACUGGGAAGCACUGGAUAGAGUACUUAGAUACUUGAGAGGUACAAUGUAUUAUGGUUUACAUUACUCAAGAUUUUCCACUAUACUUGAAGGAUACAGUGAUUCUAGUUGGAUCAUUGAUUCAGUGAAUCGAAAAGGAACUAGUGGAUACAUAUUCAUGUUAGGUGGUGCNNNNNNNNNNNNNNNNNNNNNNNNNCAAACUGUGAUCACAAGAUCCACUAUGGAGGCUGAGAUUGUAGCCUUAGAUUCUGCAAGUCAAGAAGCAGAAUGGUUUAAGAAUCUUAUGUCUGAAAUACCUAUUAUGAAAAAGCCUAUACCUGCUAUCUCUUUGUUAUGUGAUAAUGAAGCUGUAAUUAAUAUUUGUAAAAAUACUGAGUAUAACAAGAGAAACAGAAGACACAUUAGUGUGAGACAUAAGACUAUUAGAUAGUUAAUUAAAAAUGGUAUCAUAACUUUGGAAUUUGUUAGAUCUAAAGAUAACCUAGCAGAUUCUUUAACUAAAGGACUGGCUAGAAGCAAAGUCAUAGAAACAUCAAAGGGGAUGGGACUGAAAUCCAUAAGAAAUCAUUGACAAUGGCAACCCAACCUAUUCUGACUGGAGAUCCCAAGACGAAAGGUUCAACGGGAAAAACAAGUUGUUUAAUGAUUAGUUAGCACUAUUAUAAAAUGACUUUAUGUCAUUUGGUCUCUCCCUAUGAUAUGAGUGCUAAACACAGCAGAGGUAUACGGAAGAGUUUAAAACUCUGAAUGAGUUCGAGUCUAUGGCAAGGUGCUGUGCUGCGAGCACCCUUGGAGGACUCACCUAUGUGAGUGUGACUAUGUGGCUGCAGUUUAUGGGGAUAAGGGUAUAACCCCUAGAGCACUCAUGAAAUUGAGAUAUUGGUGCAUGAGGCCAGGAAAAGCACCACUUGUGAUGAACCUAGUAUUUGCAUUUGUGAUGGUUGAAGUAUAUAGAAAUCUGAACCAAAGGAUUUGGUUCAAAGCUUUUAGCUACCACUAUACUUUUCAGAUGAAAAUAUACUUUUACUAGGUAAAGAUUCAAAGCCGCAAGCUACCUUUAUUGAAGUCAUGACAUAAACAAGCCCGGUUUGACUAUUUUUAUUUUAUAAAGUUUUGAAAACAUUUUAAUCAGGUGGGGGAAUGUUAGAUUUUUAUUAAAUAAUGAUUAAAAGUUUUCAUACUUAAAAUAUAUAUAUUAUGUAUAUGGGUUAAGAAGGGAGUGUGGUGUGGAUGGUUGGUGUGUCGGUUUGAGGUGCAUGAGGUUGUUGGUUCGAAUCUCUCUUCCCUCCUUUUUAAAAUUCUCAUAUGGAGGAUUUAUUUACGUGAAGGAGAGGCAGCUUGGUUAUGUUGCUCGGUUCUCUGUGCCUGUGCUCGUCCGACCCGAGGGGCCCUGCUCGUCCGAGGUUCCUUGCGCCUCACAGGCCCUGCUCGUCCGAGGUUCCUUGCGCCUAUGCGACCAGAAGUUCGUUGCGCCUGUGCUCGUCCGACCCACCUCGUGCACGUACUCGUCCGAAGCACGAAGAGCCGAGGUCGGACCAUAAGUGCAGUGAGCCAAGAGGUGUGUGGCGAAGAGCCACGUCGUUUCCUCGCUUGCAUCUCUUCGCAACCGACCUCGCAUCCGCUGACCCUACUCCCAGUGUUAUUUUCAAACUUUAUUACCAGUUUUGACCGUUGGACCGGUUUUUGGUCGCGUCUGUCCCGAAGAAGUCUAUAAAUAGACCUCUUCGAAUUAGACAGAAGAUACAAUCGAAAGCAGAGAACUUCUAUUCUCCCUUUCUGCUAUUUUUUUAUCAAUCAACGGGCUUGCUGCAUACUGAUUCUGGGUUCGAAGGCUUCUUUGAUCCGUGCAAAUCAUUGAGGCAGAAGGAACAGUGCGAGAGGCUGUUGUAUCUCAGGAGUAGAACGCCAUCCAAGCCUAGUACACUGUAAGGCGGCGAAAUCUACUUCAAGGAAAGUGACCAACAUAUCACGCCUCAGCAUCUCGGAUUCCAUUUUUCCACUUUCUCUAUUUAUUUUCUCUAAGCCUAUUUCUGCCUAUUAUUUGUUGAAGUAGAGUAUUUUAGAUUUAAAAUUUUUUGGGACAGUUUAUUCCCAACAGGACCUCCAGUUAAGUUCCACGGCCUCCCUACUCUCUUCCCUGGCGGAGCCAUGAUCGCCAAUGAGCGGCCGCCGCCACUGAUAGUCCACCACCUCCAGCCACCGUCCACUCCGUUCCUUCCCUGUUUAGCAAGAAAGAAAAAACAGAAAGAAAGAAGAGAAGAAGAAGAGGAGGAGAGAGAGAGAGCCAUCCCUCUUUUGUUUCUCUCUCAUAUUUUCUCUCUUCCUUCUCUCUCACCUCCCUAUUUCUCUCUCUAAGAAGACCUAUGGAUCUAUGAAUCGAGUCCUAUCUUUCUAUCUUAUGGACACGAAUUGACCGAUGCAAAGGGUUAUGAUUUACCCUGGUGCCCGGGCAGCUUGCCAGACCAAUCACCCCAGUCCUGUUAAGUGCCUAUGAAACCCAGUAUUGAUGAACCCUAUUAACUGACUUUGACCCAACUUAGUCCUUGACCCAUGAUUCAUUGAUCGUGUUGCUUAGACCGGAUCUAACCGGGCCACCAUUAUCCGACCAACCGUUUCUUUUGUCUUGUUAUUUCAAUACCAUUAAAGUUAUUGAACGGGAGUUAAUCUUACUCUUAAUAUCUUUAAUAGAUUUAGCUGGUUUGCUUAGUGAAGUUUGAAAGUCUAAGAUGAAAGAGGUAAGUAACCCUAACACUCCUUAUUAGUUUUCAAAUUUUUACUUAUUUUUUGGUAUUAUGAAAAUCCAAAAAUAGUAUUAAAUAUUGACGGUAUCAUGUUUUCUUAAAAUCAAGAAUUAAGCAUAUGAUAUUAUGAAACUCAAGAUUUAUUACGAAAUAAUGGUUCCAUGAUUAUUUUACCGUUAUGCACUAUUUAUGAACUAUGAAUUCCAUAUUUAUGAAAUUUGUAUUUUGUUUAAAAAAAUUAAUUUAAUGAUUAUUCUACUAUUAAAGGUUUAAUUAUGGACUACAAACUAUAUAGUCUUUUAACGAUUUAUUCUUGCAUGAUCUAAGAUAAUAUGAUUUAAGAAAUUAUGACUUAAGAAAAUCUGUUUUAAGAAAUAACUAUGGGCUCUCAGAGGGCUAUGUACGGCACUCGCCAGCGGGUUACAUAGCUUGGUAUACGGCCCUCGCCAGCGGGUUACGGUAACUUGGCAUACGACCCGGCCAAUGGGUUAUGGUAGUUGGCAUGAUAUUGAUUACAGCCCAGCGACGGGUAGAGAUGUUUUUUUUUGGUAAGUGUGGGUGGGUAGAGAUGUUUUUUUUUUUGGUAAGUGUGGGUGGAGAUGUUUCACAACCCAAGUUCAUCCACAAUGAAUCCGGUCGCUUUGAGUGUCGCUUUACAAGUGUCAGAAUUGGAGACUCUCCAGCUAUUAUGUUCAAAGGAAUGGAGGGCAGUUCAUUGGGUGUUUGGGCAGCUCAUGGGGAGGGGAGAGCAUAUUUCCCUGAUGAUGGCAUCCUAGAUCACGUCCUAAAGUCUAAUCUGGCCCCUCUACGGUAUUGCAACAAUGCUGGCAGCAUAACAGAGGUCUACCCUUUCAAUCCAAAUGGUUCUCCUCUGGGAAUUGCAGCCCUUUGUUCUCCUGAUGGGAGGCACCUUGCUAUGAUGCCCCAUCCGGAGUGUUGCUUCAUGAUGUGGCAGUUCCCAUGGUAUCCAAAGGAAUGGGAAAUUAACAAGAAAGGCCCAAGUCCAUGGUUACGGAUGUUUCAGAAUGCUCGUGAAUGGUGCACUUAAAACAGGUACUUUGAUUUAUGUCUUCCCUUAGUGUUUUGUUAUCUUAUCUUUUUAUAUUUUGGCUAAAUUUUCCUUUUCUCCAUAAUUUUCAGAUCUCUAGUUGGUGACAUUCAUGUCACCAUAUUUUUGUAUGAGCGAUUGAGAAAACUGCUUAAGCCUUGGACUAGAUUAAAUUCUGUUCCUCAUAAACGUUCUGCUUUUAAUAUCCCAGACUCUAAUUGGUUGGAAUUACAACUUUCUGCAGGGAACUCAUCUUAGACAUGGUAUUGAGGCUGAGAACAUUGGCGUCUGACUUCAAGCUCUUAAACUUCUUGCCGUGUAUUCCUGUUCUGGUACUUGAGAAAGUGGGAGUUCACAGGAGAUGUAUGCCAAGGAUACAACAGGAGGAUUUUUUUUCAUGGAAGAAAAUCUUGUUUUUUCACUGGGUCCCCGACAAAUAUAGUCAUGAUAGAUUUUGAAUUCCUUUUUGUGAAACUUCUUAUUAAUCUAUGUAGAAAAAGACAAGUUGACAGUUUUUCAGAUGAUUUGCUUCUGUUCUGUUUUUUCGUUUCUUGGAAGUAAGCCCAGGGGUUUCAGCAAAAGUAUGAGCUUUGAGAUACAAUAACAGAAAUAUUUCCCAACAAGUUUUGCUGUUAUUUCCUUUUCUGUAUUCUGAACUCGAACAUUUUAGAACAUAAGAAAACAGCGUCUGAUUAAUUUUUGUCCUCAUUGGCAUUAUUGUUGCUGCUUUUUUUUUUUUGAAUCUAACAGUUUCUUUCUUGUUCCUCAGAUGGAACGGAACCUGUUUUCUUGAAAACAAAUGGAGCUGACAAGAAGGUUACUUAUGAUUUUUCCAUGAUAGAAAUGAUCUUAGUUCUCAGAAAAUCCCAUUCCAAUACAGUGAGAGAUGCUUUAUUAUACCGAGUUCCUAGGAGAAGAUUGAAAUAUGCAAUGUAUAAUGAUGGACAGACAGAAUGUAUUAGUCAUGAUGCUUAGUGAAUGUUCAAGAGCUUAUUUUAUGCUUCUAAAUAUUAUCUACUUAUCUGUGGAACUGUGACAAGUUGAAUUGAAGCUUAGAAAAGUCAUCUUUUUUCUGUGAUGAAGAAACAGCGUGUUGGAUUGGUAAUUUUACUUGACUUGAGAAUUUUGGCAAUAUCAUAUAAUUGGAUGGAUUCAACCGCAAAACUGUUACAGUAUUUUCUAAUAUUGAAAAUCUUCUAGUUGAUCAUGAUAAAUCUGUCCUAACAAUUGAAUUAAUUGUUCUUAAGCAAUAACUGUCAAAGCCUGUUCAGUAAUAUUGAUUAUUUAUGGAAUAUACGUAUAUAUUAUAUUAUUGGUGUUAUGUUUAUGUCCCUCUCAUGCUUGCUGAUGUUAAAUGCACUUGCACAUCAAUAUAUACAAUUACUUGGAUUGUUUCAUUUGCUUUAUUCUAUUUUUCAACCUUUCCAAAAGUUUCGGAGGCUUUGACCAAUAUUUUGCAUUUCCUCGAAUUAGGUUCUUUCUCAUGCAAUGGAUAUUUAUUUGCAUGACACUCUGUAAUGAAUGCUAAACCCAAGAACCGUUUAUGGAGCUGUUGUCAAUAUGUGAAUACUUAUCCUGAACAGCUAUUGUAGUCUAGCCAGUGUAUGAAAUGAUUAUAAGUUUUGAUUAUCUAUUUCAUCCGAUCAUAAAUAAAGAUCUUUCUACUAUGUGUGUCUUCAAGUACUAGUUAUGAGGAUCUCUUUCAAGCUUAGACAGUCUAUUGUGUUAGUUUUUCUCCCACCUUUUUGUAUUUCUACUUCUUUUUACUUUGUUUCAUUUGUAAUUUCAGUUAAAGCUUUUUCUGCAGUCAUAAAUGAAACAUUUUAAAAUAAAAACACUGGUCAUGGCAUAUUGGUAGGAGAAUGAAAUUAUUAGUAAUAAUCUUUAAGUUGAUCUUGACUGCUAUAGGUUAAGCAUAAUUAUAUGCAAAAUUCCAUGAUGGCCAUCAGGUGCUGUUUUGUUCAAUUAUGACCAUGUAACUUUAAAAUGGACGAUAGUUGAGCUAAAUUAUUUGAAUGCAGAUUGUCUAAUGGGUCACUACCAUGAGAAUGUGGGUUCUUCAUGCUUAAUAUCAGGGCUGGUCGACUGGCUAAAAAGGCUAAGUAUAGAGAACAUGGUUGUAUGCCUCAUUGGAUAAUCAUGCACAGUUGACUGAAGAUGCCUGCAUAAGGUGCAGUUUACCACAUUAUAUUGUUGAUAUUUCUGUUUUUAGUGGGAGCAAUAGGGGUAUUUUUUGACUUACAAUCAAUUUUUUUGACUCACAAACAAAUUUAGGGGGACAAUAUUUGUUCUAUGAGAUAUUUUGAGAAAAUAUACAAGUUAUGAACUGCCUUUAACUGAAACACUUGAAUCUACCUUUAUGUAACUGCAAUGCAGAGUCGGAAAGUUCUGUUUGAGUUUGAUAUGAAAUUUGGCACCUGAUACUGUGGCUUUUGUUGGUAGAGACACUUACUUUUAACAUGCAUAUGAAUGGCUUCUCUCACUUGAGCCUAGACUGUGUCAUUAAUCAGAUAUUUGUCUGAUCCGUUGAGAAUUAUUAUAUGAACUUCAAUCCCGAUUUGCCCUCCUCAUUAAAUGGAGCAUGAAGAUAUCUUUAUUUUGAGAAUUUGGCAUUAUCUUCUUGUCUGGCAUCCUUUGUCAACAAUAAUGCCAUCACAUGCUGGAGUAUAAUGGUGUUAGCUAGAGAAAGCAUCAUCAUGAUACAAAAAAGCUUGUGUAUAAUUAUCAUUAACUUCCAUAUCUUUUCAGUUUUGAGCUAGACCAUCCUCGCAUCCACCAAUCUAAUGAACCUUACUCCUCUUACAUUCUAUUGUGCUAGUGCCCGUUUUUGUUUUCCUCUUGCUUAAUGAUGUCUCUGUGCACCUAGUUGCAUGUCAUUUCUCAUUCUUUCCUCUAGUGAGCACCCAAAACUCUUCCUUAUAAGGGUAGGUUGUUUCCUUGGUUUUAGUUCACAUAGGAAGGGUAGUUGUUGCUAUCAUUCUGCUUGAACCCCAACAUAGUUUGUGGCAUGCCACCUUUUUAGCUGUCUUUCCAAUUUUCUUUAGUAUAGAACAAGGUCUAUCCUCCUAUAGCCUUGGUACAUGGCUGGUAUGGACCCCAAUAGGGCUAUCUGAAACGCAAUGUUAUCUGGACUCUCAAAUUUUGGGUUUUGGCCAUAUCAGACACUUCGACCCUUGGGACAAUUGAUGACACUCCUUGCUUGUUACCAUCAAAUCACAAAGCCAUCAUCAUGAUGCAUCUACUUUUGUCACUUCUUUUUUAAUGAACAUAAUGAGCAUAAGUCUAGCUCUCUCUCUCUCUCNNNNNNNNNNNNNNNNNNNNUCUCUCUCUCUCUCUCUCUCUCUCUCUCUCUCUCUCUCUCUCUAUAUAUAUAUAUAUAUAUAUAUAUAUAUAUAUAUAUAUAUGCAUAUUUACACAUAGAUAUAUAUAAUUGACGUGUGUCCCUGUCAAAUUUUUAGAAGAUCUCUAUGUUGGAUUCUUCUUGGCACUUGGAUACUUGACCCCCAUGUCAUGUGUCCAGCUAGCAUUGCUGAAACAUGGCUUUCCUUCUGAACAUGUUAGUUUUGUUUGCUGUAAAUAAGUGUCCUUGCAAAUCUAAAGCUACCAACAAAUCCCCUUCAGCUACAGACUUGGUCUACAUUCUGAAUACAUACCUCUAUUGUAAUCAUGACCAAUUUCAAUUACAAUAUUUAGAGAUGAUGCCUUUCCAAAUGAUUUCUAGCAAUUAGGUUCCUGAGAUAGAGCUGUUACAGUUUAUUAGUAAUAUAAGUUGUACAAGGAAGAAUUUGGGCUCUCUCUGUUUUAACUCUCCAUGCAGGAUGCAAUUAUCUAAUUUUACAACACAUAUGGUUCAUGUACUGCAUCUUGCUAAUAUCAAGAUAUUUGUGGUAAAAUGUUAUAUUCUAUGGUGCACCCUUGUUUCCAUUCUGCCUUCAGAUGAUUCAUUAUCAGUACCUUUUUUUUUUUGUUGAUAGCUUGUAGGGAUCACUUUCCUUUCUACAUGAUGAGAGAUUCAUACUCAGUUUUUUCUAAAGCUCAUUAUUUGUUUUUUCAGCAUUCUUUUGUUAAACGGUCCUAUGCCUCUCUGACUAAAUCAGACCACCAAAAUGAGAUUAGGAUUUUAUAAUGGUAAGCAAUUAUUAUCAAAGUAUAGUUUUUUUCUGUGUAUUUUCUUCCUUCUUAUCUUGAAUAUUCUUAUUAGUUAAUGUCUUACUUUUUAAAUCCUUUCCUUGCAGAUACAUUGCAAGGGAACCCAAAAAUUGAUUUUCACAAGUAUAUGGUGCAAGCCUUUGAAGCUGAUUUCAGGAAAGCUGCUGGUAUAAGGUAAUUUAAAUUUAGUGUUUAGAUCAUUCAUUGAGCAUGGAGGUUAGUUUUUAUUAGAUCUAAGUUGGCAUUUGUUGGGGAAAAAUGGAGAAAUAUUACCUGAGAUUGUGUAGAAAUGGCCCCGAAAUAGUCUUAAUUAAGAAAGGUGGCAGAGUUGAGAUGCGGACCAGGUGACUCCCUUGAGAUGAUACGUGCUGUUUCGGAAUUUUUAGGUGCAGCAGAUCAAUAAUUUUUGCAUGCCAUCCUUAGGAUACAAGAAGCCUAGCCACUCAGCGGUAUACCUUACAAGUUCGCACCACUUGUAAGGUGCAAAGCUCUUCAAAUAGCACCUUCUUUACCAAAAUAAAAAUGCUUCACUAUUGAUGAAAAAAAAUAGGAAAAAUAUUUGACACAUGUCCAACUCGCAUGAUCAUGGUUGUUGAAAGAGAAAUCAAAGUCUCUUGGACUUUUCUCAUGAACAGGUUUAGAAAUAUAUUGAUUCUUAAAAUUUUGAUAAACCAUUACUUUGUUUGAUGUCUAUGAUAAGAUCUACAAGGCAGAUCUCACCGGUGGAUUGUUAGAAGAAGAGGGUGGAGAGAAAGAGAACAAGAGAGAGCGUGAGAAAGGUAGAGAGAGAGGGGGAGAGAGAGAGUACAUAGAAAAUUUUUGGGAUUGUUAUUCUUUUCUUCACUUGAAAACGAUUACAACUUUUAUAGAGGUCGGGCACCUCUAUGCCAACUAGACUCCUACCUAACUAGGCUCUUAUUAUAAUGAAAGACAACCAAAUAAAAGACAACUAAUUGACUAAAUAAGAAGGACAAGUGGAGGUGGCCUAAAUAAGAAGGACAACCAAAUAAAGACAACUAAUUGACUAAUCCCGAACUAAGGCAAUUAAUCUCUAAUUCUGUGCGAAUAAGGAAUCCGACGCCUCCUAUGGUAGACGUGCACAAAUGGAGGUGGGUGCAAAUCUUGGCGUCUAUCAUUUUCUUGCCCUUCGAGACGAACCUUGUCCUCAAAGUUCCAAUGAGAGAACUAUAACUUGAGCUUGUCAAACUCUUCUCAAGUAGCAUCUUUCUUGGGUAGGCCCAUCCAUUGAACGAGGGCCUCCUGCACAUAGACCCCUUUCUUUUUAACCUAACGGAAGUCAGAGAUCGCCAUUGGCUCCAAAACCAGUUUUCCUUGUGGAGAGAACGUGGGCAACUGAGGAAGCGCUCUACCUGCGUCUCCUAUUUGCUUCUUGAGCUGUGAGACAUGGAAAAUUGGGUGGAUUUGGGAGUCAUCCGGUAGCUUAAGCUUGUAUGCCACUGAUCCAAUCCUCUCGAUUACUUGGAAUGGUCCAUAAAAACGAGGUGUCAAUUUCUUGUUAGCACGGAUCUGUAUUGAAGUCUGUUGAUAUGGUUGGAGCUUGAGGUAGACCCAAUCUCAUGCUAAACUCGAGCUCUCGACGAUGCUUGUCCAAUUGGACUUUCAUCCUAUUAUGAGCAAUCACUAAAUUAUCCUUAAGCAGUCGUAGGAUUUCAUCUCUAGCGGGCAACUCUUGAUCAACCAGUGCUGCUGAUGUGGAGCCCGAUUCAUAGCGGUGCACUGAAGGAGGUGGCCAUCCAGUAUGGCCUGCCAUCAUAAUGUACACAUCGACUCCUUGACAUAGGAGUCGCUGGAUCGAAUGCAGGGUACCUGGCAGUAUGGGUGCCUUCGAGUCGCCCUCCAACUGGUACCGACGCCCUGCACCUCAAACUGCAUAGUGAGUUUCUCCCAAUCACAAAGGACCGGUCCUAAGCUCCCAAGCCACUAAAUGCCAAGGACGAUGUCUGACCUUUGGAGACCCAAGGGAUACAUGUCAACCUAGAAUAGGCACCCUCGAAUUUGAACGUCUACAGCCUUGCAGACCUCCUUGCAUGUUAAGCGGUUGCCAUCAGCCACCAUCACCAUGAAAGGUGUUGUGGGUGCGAUCUUACAAUGAAGCUUCUGAGCUAAUUGAUCAUUCAUGAAAUUAUGGAUGCUACCGUUGUCUAUCAGAAUCAAAACCGGUCGAGCCUCUACCAUCCUGGCUACUCACAUCGUCUGAGGUGAGGUACAUUCCGACAAGGCAUGAAUCGAGAUCUCGGGGUGGUCAGGCAGAUCCUGCUCUCCCUCCAUAGUCAUCUCUUCCUGCACCGACGCCUUCUCUUUUGUCUUCGAUAUUAGCAAAAAUAAUUGCUAAAACUUAUAGACAUGUUUCCGUACGAACUUCUCCUCACAGUUGUAACACUAGCCUUUCUCCCUACGAGCUUGCAUAUGUUCCCAAGUCAGGCGCCUGAGGCUAACACUUGUUGGAACCUGCGAUGGGGCCGUUGGGGGUGGGAGUCGGCUUGGCCCCACGCUCGGGGCCAGUCUGAGUGUUGGCAGGACCGGCGGCGGCUUCUACACUGGUGUAGGAAGUAGAUCCUAACGAGGUGAGUUACAUCUUACCCGAAAGAUCUUGUCUUUCUGUAGUCAUGCCAAACUUACUGCAUGUGCGCCAUCAUCUUUGGCCGGAAAAGCUUAACCUCCAAACGAAUAUCCUUCCGAAGGUCGCCUAUAAAACUUUCAAGAAGAGCCCCUUCUGGCUAGUCCUGAACCCGAGAAGCCAGCCGCUCGAACUGGCUUUGAUAAUCACGCACCGACCCCGUUUGUUGUAGUUUGGCGAGAGCUUUAUCAAAGUUUUCAUAUUCAGAUGGCCCAUACAAAUGCAGAGGGCUUGUGUGAACUGGCCAACUCGCUUGGGGAUGCGUAGUCUCAUACACUAGAACCAUUGUAGGGCUUCAUCAUGGAGAUGGAAGGAAGCCAACAGUACCUUCUCCGCAUCUGGGGUGCCUUGUUAGCAGAAGAACUGCUUGGCCUUACAUCCCGUCGGAUCUUUAUCCGUAAGUUUCCGAAAGUCCACCCGUGCGAGCCAUGGUUGAAUUGUUCCAUUGUCACCCAACAGAAUCCGUCGAGUCGAGCUCCCUGGAGACUGAGGAGGCGGACUCUCCCUGUCCUUCAUGAGGAGAGCCACAUUAGAGGUAAGGGUCUCUAGGUUAGCAUUGAUGGAUUCGAAAGCGUUCGCAUGUCGGCGUAUGGUCAUGUUGACGCUAUGGAGCUCGACCUCUACCGUCGACACGCGAUCUUCAUUUGUAACUGAGCGUGUGGAAACCAUGCUAGAUGCCAAUUAGAUACUGUAGCGAAUUGGCUACCGUAGUGACUCGACUACUGCAGCAAAUCGGCUACUGUAGCUUUGAUACCAAGUUGAUAAGAUCUGUAAGGCAGAUCUCACCGGUGGAUUGUUAGAAGAAGAGGGUGGAGAGAAAGAGAACAAGGGAGCGUGAGAAAGGGAGAGAGAGAGGGGGAGAGAGAGAGUACAUAGAAAAAUUUCAGGAUUGUUAUUCCUUUCUUUAAUGAAAAUGAUUACAACUCUUAUAGAGGUCCGGUGCCUUUAUGCCAACUAGACUCCUACCUAACUUGGCUCUUAUUAUAAUAGAAAGACAACAAAAUAAAAGACAACUAAUUAACUAAAUAAGAAGGACAAGUGGAGGUGGCCUAAAUAAGGACAACCUGAAUUAAGGCAAUUAAUUCAGGCAACUAAUUAACUGAUCCUGAAUUAAGGCAAUUAAUUCCUAAUUCCGUCCGAAUAAGGUAGAAGUGCACAAAUGGAGGUGGGUGCAAAUCUUGGCGUCUAUCAAUCUAAAAUAUAAAUGUAUGAUUCAUUUACUACUAAUUUUAUUUUCCCAGAUCAAAAAAAUUUUAUGCUCAAAACUGGAAUUUAUAGAUUCAAUGUCACAUUUAGUAAAAAUUUAUGAUCCAUAUGAGGGAGAAUAGUGAGGAAGGAGAACUAAAGAUGAAAUUUUUCUAGAGCGUUUGUAGAUUCGGCCUUGCUCGAUCUAUAGGCUGAUGGGGAGCAUCUCAAUUAGACAAGUUUUAAUGUGUAUUUUCUCAGAUGUAUAACUGACCAAUAAAUGAGAUUUUAAAAAUAUAAAACUGAAAUCAUUAUGAAAAUAUUUUCAAAUUUGUAGCAGGCCAAUGAAUGAGAUAUAAAAACGGAAUUAUUCUACAUUAAUGGCUGAAAUUUUCAAACUGAAGUCUGCCAACUUUAGUGUAAUAAUUGAUACUAAAUGGCUUAUAAAGAACUCAUUCAUUUUUCAUUUUUAUAAAAUAUACCAACAGCAUUUACCCUGCGGAGUCAGAGUAGCUCAUUGAAGAUCAUGUUGCAUUUUGUGUGAUCAACCAUGCAUAUAUAUGCAAUCCUCAUUAACUUCAAUUUUUAUUUCUUUCAGUUGGUAUCUUUGGAACUUUGUAGUCAUUUUCUUGUUGCUGAACGUUAAUGUUAUGCUCGACCUCAACCCCCUCAAA